rnacentral:lncRNA from 1 species
CUUCGGGCUUCCGUUUGAAAGGGUUUUCGUCGGAGAAGAGGGAACUGACGACGGCGCCAUUGUCGCCGCCGCUGAACAGCGUUGUGAAGAUGUCCGAUGGAGGGGACUCGUCGGUGGUUGCUUCACUGCCCUUCUUCUUACCCAUUUGUUAUAACCCCCUCGCCGAUCAAUUGAAGAAACCGGUGAUCGAAUUGGGAACUGAAGCUUUUGGGGUUUUGGUUUUUUGGAUGCCGUGACGGCGCGAAGAAUGUGGCGGAAGAGAAAGAAAAGGGGAUUUCAUUUGCGGGGCUAUUGUUGUCUGGGUCGGUCGAUUCGGGUGCGAAUGCGGGUUUCUGGGUUGGUUCGGUAUUAAUGGACUGUUUUCUAUCCCAUUGGGCUUUGGUUUA